UGGUCACCCAAGUAGGCUCCCGUUUCAAAUAUUUCUUAUAACUUUUCCCAAUUUAAAAAAAAAAAAACAUAAUAUUUUUCAUAAGCCACAGUACUUAUUUCAAUCAAAAAAUGAGUGCAAGCAGGCAUCACCAUCUGUGACAUGCGGUUAAAGGCGGACGCAGCAUAUGGGCCCUGGGAUAAAGGGGCUUUGUACACUACCAAUCGGGUUCUUGGACACGGACAUUUGGCCCGUCUAGGUGUGCGAAUAUGAUUUCUGGUUCUGUUCUGGGCAGCGGUGUGCAUUUCGGUUUCCCUGCUCUUUUGCGGUUGUCAGGUGGCACAUGUGAAUAAAUCAUCCGCGAUAAGAGCGAAGUGAGUGCUCAUGUUUAUGGCCUUAAUGGCUUUGGUCACACCAAAUAAAAUUUGCAUUUCAGUGGCAAAACGAA